GCCAACAACCUUGGGGAGACGACCCAAAACAUCUUUACAGAUGUUCAAAAUGCAAAGCAAUACACGGUUCCUAUCAUCAACAUUACGCAUUGUCCACUGAGGAGGAGCGACACUUUGACUUCUGAGAUUAUCAAAUCCCAGCAUAAAUGUACAACCACUUGGAUCAUUAGUUACAACCUCCACCUUCGAUAGAUGCUUAAGCUUGUAUAAUUUUGCAGGCUCAAGAACUCCUCCAGUGGAAUAUUUUAACACAUGGAGAAAAGCUUUAGUUCGUUGACCUUUUGCUUUUGUUGAAAUGGCGAUAACUCUUGGCUUAGCAGUAUGACUACGACCCAGUUUUCCAGUUUUCGCCCAGAUCCCACGACUCUUAGCAACUCUGAUUGACAUCACGAUCUUCUGCUUAGUACUUUCUAACGCUGCUUCACAAGCUCUCCUCAACUCCUCAUCAUCCGCACUCGAUUUCGCCAUUUUUGCUCUUCUCUGAAGCUCAAUUUCAG
rnacentral:misc_RNA from 1 species